CGUACGAUCCAGAGAGUUUUGAUCCUGGCUCAGGAUAAAACGCUGGCGGCGCACAUAAGACAUGCAAGUACGAACGAACUUAAAUCGAAAAUGUUUUACAUUUUGAAGCGGUUAGUGGCGGACUGGUGAGUAACACGUAAGCAACCUGCCUAUCAGAGGGGAAUAACAAUGAGAAAUCAUUGCUAAUACCGCAUAACUUAUUUCAACUGCAUGGUAGAAAUAAGAAAGGAGCAAUCCGCUGAUAGAUGGGCUUGCGUCUGAUUAGAUAGUUGGUGGGGUAAAGGCCUACCAAGUCGACGAUCAGUAGCCGGACUGAGAGGUUGAACGGCCACAUUGGGACUGAGAUACGGCCCAGACUCCUACGGGAGGCAGCAGUCGGGAAUAUUGCGCAAUGGAGGGAACUCUGACGCAGUGACGCCGCGUAUAGGAAGAAGGUUUUCGGAUUGUAAACUAUUGUCAUUAGGGAAGAAAAAGACAGUACCUAAGAAGGAAGCUCCGGCUAACUACGUG
rnacentral:rRNA from 1 species